CCAGCAGCCGCGGUAAUUCCAGCUCCAAUAGCGUAUAUUAAAGUUGUUGCAGUUAAAAAGCUCGUAGUUGAACUUCUGGCGGCGUGCCGAUUAGGCUUCGGUCUGUCGGAUUGCGUCGUCAUCCGUCUGCAAACCUCGUUCGGCCUUUAUUGGUACGGCGAGUUGAGUAGACAAUUUACUUUGAAAAAAUUAGAGUGUUUCAAGCAGGCAAUAGCCCGAAUACUUUAGCAUGGAAUAAUGGAAUAGGACUCUGUCCAUAUAUCUCAAUUGGCUGUGGGCAUGAGUAAUGAUUAAUAGGGACAGUUGGGGGCAUUAGUAUUUAAUUGUCAGAGGUGAAAUUCUUG
rnacentral:rRNA from 1 species